UGGGGAAUAUUGCGCAAUGGGGGAAACCCUGACGCAGCGACGCCGCGUGAAGGAAGAAGGCCUUCGGGUUGUAAACUUCUUUGAUUGGGGACGAAGAAAGUGACGGUACCCAAGGAACAAGCCACGGCUAACUACGUGCCAGCAGCCGCGGUAAUACGUAGGUGGCGAGCGUUGUCCGGAAUUACUGGGUGUAAAGGGCGCGUAGGCGGGGGAGUAAGUCAGAUGUGAAAGCCCAUGGCUCAACUGUGGGACUGCAUCUGAAACUACUUUUCUUGAGUGCUGGAGAGGAAAGCGGAAUUCCUAGUGUAGCGGUGAAAUGCGUAGAUAUUAGGAGGAACACCAGUGGCGAAGGCGGCUUUCUGGACAGUAACUGACGCUGAGGCGCGAAAGCGUGGGUAGCAAACAGG
rnacentral:rRNA from 1 species